ensembl:lncRNA
UUGUACCAAUCAGUUGGAUUUUUGAUGACAAUGGAACAUUGAAGUGUCGAUGGACAUCAUCACUCUCAAACAUUAAAAACAAUUCUCCACCAAACCCUAACUGGAAGGUUUAUGACAUUGUGAAGAUCGUUGGACCAUCAAUUGACCCUGCAGUUGUGGAAUUACCUGAGAAGAGAAAAAGGAAAAAUAAGCUCUGUGAUGAAAGUGACAUCAAUUCAGAGACAUCUUCCUGUGAAGAUACUCUUCAGAGAAGUGGGAAAAAAGAUGAGGAUGAUCCCAAGCCCACAAGCUCUGAUGUCUCAGGUGAUUUAAACAUAUACACACAUAUACAAAAGAUAAAUU